UACGUAGGCAGCAAGCGUUGUUCGGCGUUACUGGGCGUAAAGGGUGCGUAGGCGGCCCUGUAAGUAUGGUGUGAAAUCUCCCGGCUUAACUGGGAGGGUGCGCUAUAGACUGCGGGGCUCGAGUGUGGGAGAGGAAAGUGGAAUUCCUGGUGUAGCGGUGAAAUGCGUAGAUAUCAGGAGGAACACCGGUGGUGUAAACGGCUUUCUGGACCAUAACUGACGCUGAGGCACGAAAGCGUGGGUAGCAAACAGG
rnacentral:rRNA from 1 species